rnacentral:rRNA from 1 species
CUACGGGAGGCAGCAGUGAGGAAUAUUGGACAAUGGUCGAAAGACUGAUCCAGCCAUGCCGCGUGCAGGAUGACUGCCCUAUGGGUUGUAAACUGCUUUUAUACGGGAAGAAAAACACCUACGUGUAGGUGACUGACGGUACCGUAAGAAUAAGGACCGGCUAACUCCGUGCCAGCAGCCGCGGUAAUACGGAGGGUCCAAGCGUUAUCCGGAAUCAUUGGGUUUAAAGGGUCCGUAGGCGGGCUAUUAAGUCAGAGGUGAAAGUUUGCAGCUCAACUGUAAAAUUGCCUUUGAUACUGAUAGUCUUGAAUUGUAGUGAAGUGGUUAGAAUAUGUGGUGUAGCGGUGAAAUGCAUAGAUAUCACAUAGAAUACCGAUUGCGAAGGCAGAUCACUAACUAUAUAUUGACGCUGAGGGACGAAAGCGUGGGGAGCGAACGGGAUUAGAUACCCGGGUAGUC